rnacentral:rRNA from 1 species
AUUGAACGCUGGCGGCUGGCCUAACACAUGCAAGUCGGGCGGUAACACAGGGAGCUUGCUCCUGGGUGACGAGCGGCGGACGGGUGAGUAAUGUCUGGGAAACUGCCUGAUGGAGGGGGAUAACUACUGGAAACGGUAGCUAAUACCGCAUAACGUCGCAAGCCCAAAGAGGGGGACCUUCGGGCCUCUUGCCAUCACAUGGGCCCAGAUGGGAUUAGCUAGUAGGUGGGGUAAUGGCUCAACUAGGCGACGAUCCCUAGCUGGUCUGAGAGGAUGACCAGCCACACUGGAACUGAGACACGGUCCAGACUCCUACGGGAGGCAGCAGUGGGGAAUAUUGCACAAUGGGCGCAAGCCUGAUGCAGCCAUGCCGCGUGUGUGAAGAAGGCCUUCGGGUUGUAAAGCACUUUCAGCGAGGAGGAAGGCGGUGAGGUUAAUAACCUCAUCGAUUGACGUUACUCGCAGAAGAAGCACCGGCUAACUCCGUGCCAGCCGCCGCAGUAA